rnacentral:rRNA from 1 species
UGGUGCCAGCAGCCGCGGUAAUUCCAGCUCCAAUAGCGUAUAUUAAAGUUGUUGCAGUUAAAAAGCUCGUAGUUGAAUUUCGGGGUUAGUAGGUUGGCCAUGCCUCUGGUAUGUACUGGUCUCACUGAUUCCUCCUUCCUUAUGAACCGUAAUGCCAUUAAUUUGGUGUUGCGGGGAAUUUGGACUGUUACUUUGAAAAAAUUAGAGUGUUUAAAGCAAGCUAACGCUUGAAUACAUUAGCAUGGAAUAAUGAAAUAGGACGUUCGAUCUUAUUUUGUUGGUUUCUAGGAUUGACGUAAUGAUUAAUAGGGAUAGUUGGGGGCAUUAGUAUUCAAUUGUCAGAGGUGAAAUUCUUGGAUUUAUUGAAGACUAACUACUGCGAAAGCAUUUGCCAAGGAUGUUUUCAUUAAUCAAGAACGAAAGUUAGGGGAUCGAAGACGAUCAGAUACCGUCGUAGUCUUAACCAUAAACUAUGCCGACUAGGGA